rnacentral:rRNA from 1 species
CCUACGGGUGGCUGCAGUGGGGAAUAUUGCACAAUGGGCGCAAGCCUGAUGCAGCCAUGCCGCGUGUGUGAAGAAGGCCUUCGGGUUGUAAAGCACUUUCAGCGGGGAGGAAGGCGGUGAGGUUAAUAACCUCAUCGAUUGACGUUACCCGCAGAAGAAGCACCGGCUAACUCCGUGCCAGCAGCCGCGGUAAUACGGAGGGUGCAAGCGUUAAUCGGAAUUACUGGGCGUAAAGCGCACGCAGGCGGUCUGUCAAGUCGGAUGUGAAAUCCCCGGGCUCAACCUGGGAACUGCAUUCGAAACUGGCAGGCUAGAGUCUUGUAGGGGGGGGUAGAAUUCCAGGUGUAGCGGUGAAAUGCGUAGGGAUCUGGAGGAAUACCGGUGGCGAAGGCGGCCCCCUGGACAAAGACUGACGCUCAGGUGCGAAAGCGUGGGGAGCAAACAGGAUUAGAUACCCGAGUAGUC